rnacentral:rRNA from 1 species
UUGACGGUACCCUACUAGAAAGGAGCCGCUAACUUCGUGCCAGAAGCGUCGGUAAUACGGGGGCUCCAAGCGUUAUCCGGUGUUAUUGGGCGUAAAGAGUCGUGUAGGUGGUUGGGUAAGUUAUCUUUCAAAUAUCUUUGCUUAACAAAGAGGAGGGGGAUAAUACUGCUCGACUAGAAUUUUCUCAAGGGAGAUCGGAACUGAGGGAGGAGUAGUGAAAUGCGUUGAUACCCUCGGGAACACCAGUGGCGUAGGCGGAUCUCUGGGAGAAGAUUGACACUGAGACAUGAAAGCUAGGGGAGCGAAGCAGAUUAGAGACCUGCGUAGUCCUAGCCGUAAACGCAUGCUUGCUAGCUGCAUGAAUCUACCUUCGGGUGGUAUCGUGUGGCGAAGGUAACCCGUUAAGCAAGCCGCCUGGAAAGUACGGCCGCAAGGCUGAAAUUCAAAGGAAUUGGCGGGGAGGCACACAACCAGUGGAACAUGUGGUUUAAUUCGAGACUAACCGAAGAACCUCACCAGGGUUUGACAUGUAGCUGCACGUCUUAAGAAAUUAAGACUCUCUUGAAGGUGCUACACAGGUGCUGCAUGGCUGUCGUCAGCUCGUUCCGUGAGGAGUGCCCUUAAGUGGGACAACGAGCGCAACCCCUAUUACAUGUUAGAAAUGUCAUGUAAGACUGCCUUGCCAUUUGGCGGGGAGGAAGGAGGGGCAGACGUCAAGUCCGCAUGGUCCUUAUGCCCUGGGCUACACACAUGUUACAAUGAGUACGGCAAUGAGUCUGUCGCGAGCACGUAAGUGUAAGCUAAUCUCUUAAAUGUACUCUCAGUGGGGAUUGAGGUCUGCAACUCGACCUCAUGAACACGGAAUUGGUAGUAAUCGCGGGUCAGCUAUACCGCGGUGAUACGUUCUUGCCUCUUGCACACACCGCCCGUCAAACCAGCAAAGU